AUUGAACGCUGGCGGCAGGCCUAACACAUGCAAGUCGAACGAGUGGCGGACGGGUGAGUAAUGUCUGUGAAACUGCCUGAUGGAGGGGGAUAACUACUGGAAACGGUAGCUAAUACCGCAUACCAUCGGAUGUGCCGAGAUGGGAUUAGCUAGUAGGUUGGGUAAAGGCUGACCUAGGCGACGAUCCCUAGCUGGUCUGAGUGGAGGACCAGCCACACGGGAAUGGAGACACGGUCCAGACUCAACCGUGAGGGAGCAGUGGAGAAUAUUGCACAAGUGGAGCAGGCCUGAUGCAGCCAUGCCGAGUGUAGGAAGAAGUCAUUGGUGUUGUGAAGUAAAUUCAGCGUGGAGGCGUUACCCGCUGAAGAAGCACCGGCUAACUCCGUGCCAGCAGCCGCGGUAAUUC
rnacentral:rRNA from 1 species